rnacentral:rRNA from 1 species
UAAUACGAAGGGGGCUAGCGUUGCUCGGAAUCAUUGGGCGUAAAGGGCGCGUAGGCGGCGCUGUUAGUCAGGCGUGAAAUGCCCAGGCUCAACCUGGGGACUGCGCUUGAUACGGCAGGGCUCGAGGAUGGAAGAGGGCCGCGGAAUUCCCAGUGUAGAGGUGAAAUUCGUAGAUAUUGGGAAGAACACCGGUGGCGAAGGCGGCGGCCUGGUCCAUUACUGACGCUGAGGCGCGACAGCGUGGGGAGCAAACAGGAUUAGAUACCCUGGUAGUCCACGCCGUAAACGAUGUGCGCUGGGUGUUGGGGGCCCUAGGCCCUCAGUGCCGCAGCCAACGCGGUAAGCGCACCGCCUGGGGAGUACGGCCGCAAGGUUG